rnacentral:rRNA from 1 species
GCUGGCGGCGUGCCUAAUACAUGCAAGUCGAGCGGUAAGGCUCCUACAGGUUAUUUGAUCACGAUAGCUUCGGUUAUCAGAGCAACCCAUUGCAACCCUGGCUAGGGAAGGGAUGGUGCGGGGAGAUCGAGUAGCGUGUUGGAGUACACGAGCGGCGGACGGCUGAGUAACACGUAGGAACGUACCCCAAACUGAGGGAUAAGCACCAGAAAUGGUGUCUAAUACCGCAUGUGCUCUUCGGAGUAAAGCUUCGGCGGUUUGGGAACGGCCUGCGCAUGAUUAGCUAGUUGGUGAGGUAAUGGCUCACCAAGGCUACGAUCAUUAGCUGGUCUGAGAGGAUGAUCAGCCAGACUGGGACUGAGAACGGCCCAGACUCCUACGGGAGGCAGCAGUAGGGAAUUUUCCACAAUGGGCGAAAGCCUGAUGGAGCAACGCCGCGUGCAGGAUGAAGGUCUUCGGAUUGUAAACUGCUUUUAUCUGUGACGAAUAUGACGGUAGCAGAUGAAUAAGGAUCGGCUAACUCCGUGCCAGCAGCCGCGGUCAUACGGGGGAUCCAAGCGUUAUCCGGAAUUACUGGGCGUAAAGAGUUGCGUAGGUGGCAUGGAAAGCGAGCAGUGAAAGCACCCCGCUCAACGGGGUAAACAUUGCUUGAACUACCAAGCUAGAGGAUGAGAGAGGUAGAUGGAAUUCCUAGUGUAGGGGUAAUAUCCGUUGAUAUUAGGAGGAACACCGAUGGCGUAAGCAGUCUACUGGCUCAU